CUCAUCUCAACAGCUGAAACACAACUGCAGUCUGACACAGAGAACCAUGGAACACAUUCAACUGUCCCCUCCAUGCAUCGUGACUCCUCAUGAAAAGUUUAAUUUCCAAGAAGGUCUUAUUUGGGGCCAUCCCCAUAUGGAUCCUGCUCCUCAAGAGCCAACCCCCCUCCACUGAGUGGUCUUCUGAAGAGAUGACUUCCUUCCUGUCCUCAGGUUGAUUAAAGCUGCACCGUUUGCAUCUGUGAAGGCCCCUCAUUUAGGAAACCACUGGACUACAAAGAAAUGACUUCAGAAACGUUGAAUCAACCUGGGACACAUUUUGGAGACGCCAAGCAUAAUCCAUCACCAAUGUGGGACGCCACUGAAAAAUGUUGCACACAAUUAACUUCUCUGGAGACAUUGGUUGUUCUGUUCUGGGUGCCCUGGCAGGAGAGCUGGGGUUGGAUGAUGGAAUGUUCUUUGGCAUGAGGUUUUUACCCUGCAUGAUUGUUUGGCCUUUUAUGGAUCAGUGGUGUGUGUGUUUGGGUUUGACAUGAGAUGGAUUUUUUCAUCGCUAGGGUUCUACUGUGUGUGUUUGGGUGUGUGUCUCCCACUCACACGUAGAACCCCAUACCAGGUGUGUGUGUGUGUGUGUGUGUGUCCGGCUUGCUUUGAUCGUGAUAAUGUUCAUACGGGGGUCUGUGUGAUUGGCUUGGGAUAUUGGACUGGUCAACUAAAUCAUACCUGAUGGACGGCCACACGUUUACUUCAGGCCUCCAGUAGACAUGAAGAGCCCUGAGCGAUGCUCCAGAGCGAGAUCCAACACACUGGGCAGGAAGGAGAGGAUCCAAAUCAAGUGUAAAAGGAUGCAAGCGGCGUGUUCAGAUCAGUGACUUCAAACUAGGACCAAUCAGGAUCAAUGGAGGAUGGACACCAAAAGGAAUUCCACAAGGAGAGUCUGACGUUGGAAAGGGACCUAAAUGGAUAUUCAAGAUGACCUUCAGACCUGUAAUGAGACGGCUCUUCCUACCUGGCUGGAUUGAUGGAGAGCCCUGUGGAUCUUGUCUUGCUCUCAGUUGCACGUCUUCUCAGGCUGAACUCUAAUUGUCUCGGACAGGACUAGCUGAACAAUUGGUUCCCUUAAAUCAGAACCAAUCCGGGAACUCCAUCUAGUGCGCCCUUCGAGCUGAAGUUGUGCUCUUCAGCUGAGGAGGUAAGGAAACCUUCACUGGGGCUUCAAGAUGUAAAGAGGAGAAUGUUUCAAAAUGUUCCAUGGUACUCUGAUGAAGACCGUUGGUGUGUUCCACUGGCUGAGAGGAAGAACCCACACAUCUUCCUCUUGGCCUUUCUCCUCUCAGAAUCCUGGCGCCAUCUUGAAGGAUAUUCCAGCUCAUGUAACUGAUGUCACGACAGAUUCACAAACACUUGGUUUCUCCUGAGGGGCGUUUCUAUAGAACUGAAGACUUCAGACGGCACUGUAUCCCAGCAUGCAUCUCUGCUCACUCAGACCACACCCCCAUGAGUAGGAUGCAACACUCUUGGGAUGGAGAUGUAGUGUUUUAUAAGUAACAAGGGAGCAGACUAAGGGGAUUAGAACGUAAUAGAAUGUCAAGUCUAAAUCUUUAAACCAUGAAGAUGGUUGGAAAAGUCAGGAAUUUGGCUUAUUUUUAAUAUGGGCAGUCCUUUCACUCGGAUGCUCACUUGAAAUGUACAUGUGUUGGCUGGCUGGCAUGAUUUGCUGUUGGUGAUGAGGCGGUCAGGGUGACGUUGCAGGGCUAUGGUCGGCUCUCUGUGAGCUCAACGUUUAGAUUUUCUCUGGUUUGUACCCUGAAUAAUCUAGAUAAUUGUAAAAUGUAGACACGGUUUUCCAUUGAAUGAUUCCAGGAUUUUAGGUUUAAAGUUGUUGUACAUGGUAGUUUGGUUCUUCGUAUGGUUUUGAGUGAUUAUAACUUGUACACACUGGGUGCAUAAUAAUGUAAUGUUACACUGAAUAGUAUUAAUGACCAACAGCAACAAACAGAUCUCCUCAAGGUAAGUCUGUUGGCUGUAUUUUGAUGAAGACCAUCACUGGACUUCAGGAUCUUCCUCCGUUCAGCUCAAGGUGAGGCGCUGGUUACGUUUUUUCUUUGGUUGGUUCCGGCUGGAAUGUUCGGAUUCCAGUCGGACGGUUUGUGCUUCCCGCCGUGGAAGGUUCUGAGUGCGGUCACUUGAUUUAGUCCCAAUGGUUAGCAUAGAAAGUUGUAGUCUUGACAACCAUAAGAACACUAACACGAAUUUCGUACAAUAUGUUAAUUUCCGAUGGUUGCGCCGUACUUUUAACCACGUUGACGGGACUCUCGCUGCGUACAAAACGGCGUUCUACUGGCGGCCCAAUUUUUGGUGAAGGCUGAAAAUCAAUUCAAGGUGGAAGACAAUUUGACAUUUCUUCAAAGGAACCCAGCACCUGAAUAUGAGUUGAGUAAAUUUGAUUUAAUAUUGAUACUGCUUCGUGUUCAUUGUUACUUCACUGUUACUUGCUGAUACAAACCUCCUGCUGUUGCUCAAAGGCGAGUCUGAGAGGCUGUGGACCGGAGGCUUGUGGUGCCAGGAUGGACCGGAGACUGAGGCUGGAGACCAGGGGCCUGCAGCACCGGACCAGAGGACCAGGAAUCCAUGGCUGAAGGAGCUGAUGGAGGCCCUGCCUGGUGGAGGAGCCAUACUGAAAGCCCUGCCUGGUGGAGGAUGUCUGUCGUGGGGUAGAAGUGACCAUCACACUCACUGCCACUUCUCGUAGAAUACUGCUACCACAAACCACCGGCGUUUGUACCAUAUAUACCAGACGACUACAUCUGUUUUACCACAUGUUGCAGCAAGCCUUCCGCUGUCUGUUCCAAACCAGGACUCUGGUUUGGAGGAGAGCUGAUGGAGGAGCUGAUGGAGGAGCUGAGUCGCUGGAGGACGACUAGGAAUCGACCAACAAGGAUUCCUCAACGUGUUUCUGGAGCGGAGGCGAGCUGAUAGGGGAGCCGUGAAUCUGGAGGAUGACGUCACUCUACCAACAAGGAUUACCAGGACUCUGGCUGAGGAGAGCGGAUGGAGGAGCCAUAAAACCAGGAAUCUGGAGGACUGACGGAGAAGCCGUACAUCUGGAAGGCAAAUCCUGAGGACGAUCAGGACUCUACCAUCAAGGAUUCCUCACACACCUGAGCUGAACCCCACCUGAUCCGGACAUCCUGCUGGUCCCGUCUCCUCAGUUCAUCUGAGCCUCUUCCUCCAGAAGACAUGCUGAGCUCAGCGGUCUGAGGCUGAUGUAUCAAUGACCUCAAGUGGGAGUAAUCUUCUUGACCCCACAUGUAGCCGUGUGCUUCCACACGCCUUUCCCUCACGUCUGUCACUAACCUCAUUACUUCACUACUCUCUACUCCUUCUCCUUCUUCUUCCUUCUCCGUGGUUCGAACCUUUACUCUGAAGGAGUGUCUCCUUGAACCUUUACACUGAAGGAGCGUCUUCCUGUCCUCAGAGGGUUCAGCGUUAGGGUUGAGAGUCAGGGUUUAGAGUCAGGGACAGAGCUGGUCAGGGAGGGCUGGUUUUACAUAAACCUUUUCACUUGCUUUCUGAAUGGUGGUGACAUUUUGAAAAGAUUAAUUUGGGAAAAUGUUUUCCUCUUUUUUUGCUUUACAAAAAUAUGUAUUAAACUUCUGUGUUUGUAACCAGACCAGGUAUCCAUGGCUGAAGGAGCUGAUGGUGGAGCCGUGCUGAAAGAGCGGAUGGAGGGGCCGUGCUGACGGCCCUGCCUGGUGGAGGAGCCGUGCUGACGGCCCUGCCUGGUGGAGGAGCCGUGCUGACGGCCCUGCCUGGUGGAGGAUGUCUGUCGUGGGACCAGGACUCUGUCUGAGGAGAGCAGAUGGAGGAGCUGAGAUGCUGGAGGACAACUAGGAAUCGACCAACAAGGAUUCUUCAACGUGUUUCUGGAGCGGAGGCCAGCUGGUAGGGGAGCC